rnacentral:rRNA from 1 species
GGGUUGUGAGGUUAAGCGACUAAGCGUACACGGUGGAUGCCCUGGCAGUCAGAGGCGAUGAAGGACGUGCUAAUCUGCGAUAAGCGUCGGUGAGGUGAUAUGAACCGUUAUAACCGGCGAUUUCCGAAUGGGGAAACCCAGUGUGUUUCGACACACUAUCAUUAACUGAAUCCAUAGGUUAAUGAGGCGAACCGGGGGAACUGAAACAUCUAAGUACCCCGAGGAAAAGAAAUCAACCGAGAUUCCCCCAGUAGCGGCGAGCGAACGGGGAGGAGCCCAGAGCCUGAAUCAGUGUGUGUGUUAGUGGAAGCGUCUGGAAAGGCGCGCGAUACAGGGUGACAGCCCCGUACACAAAAAUGCACAUAUUGUGAGCUCGAUGAGUAGGGCGGGACACGUGGUAUCCUGUCUGAAUAUGGGGGGACCAUCCUCCAAGGCUAAAUACUCCUGACUGACCGAUAGUGAACCAGUACCGUGAGGGAAAGGCGAAAAGAACCCCGGCGAGGGGAGUGAAAAAGAACCUGAAACCGUGUACGUACAAGCAGUGGGAGCCUCUUAAUGGGGUGACUGCGUACCUUUUGUAUAAUGGGUCAGCGACUUAUAUUCUGUAGCAAGGUUAACCGAAUAGGGGAGCCGAAGGGAAACCGAGUCUUAACUGGGCGUUAAGUUGCAGGGUAUAGACCCGAAACCCGGUGAUCUAGCCAUGGGCAGGUUGAAGGUUGGGUAACACUAACUGGAGGACCGAACCGACUAAUGUUGAAAAAUUAGCGGAUGACUUGUGGCUGGGGGUGAAAGGCCAAUCAAACCGGGAGAUAGCUGGUUCUCCCCGAAAGCUAUUUAGGUAGCGCCUCGUGAAUUCAUCUCCGGGGGU